UACGUAGGAGGCGAGCGUUAUCCGGAUUUACUGGGCGUAAAGAGGACGCGGGCGGCUUUUCAAGUCGGAUGUAAAAUCUCCCGGCUCAACUGGGAGGGAUCGUCCGAUACUGUUAGGCUUGAGUGCAGCAGAGGGAAGCGGAAUUCCCGGUGUAGUGGUGAAAUACGUAGAUAUCGGGAGGAACACCAGUGGCGAAAGCGGCUUCCAAGGCUGUAACUGACGCUGAGGUCCGAAAGCGUGGGGAGCGAACAGG
rnacentral:rRNA from 1 species